rnacentral:rRNA from 1 species
AUGGACCUCCGCUGGUCCGUCGAGGUCAAGGGCGGCGAGACCCUGAGAUCAGCGCCCGUGCUGAACGGCCGCCGCGGCGUCGUCACCUACGUGUCCCUCGUCCACACGCCGCCGAGCGCAGUUGGCGGCCAGCGCGUCGUCGUGGAAGCCUACGUCAAGACUAUCGACGGCACCCUCGAGCUGGCGUCGCUGUCGUCCGAGAGGCCGCACGCGGAGCUGCCGCGCCCGGUGCUGGUGAUGGGCCUCGAUCUCUUUUGCUCUCGCGUGAGGCGGCAGGGCGGCGACCCCGCGGAUGGUGAUGUGGCGGUCGCCGUUCGGUUUGAGGGUCGUUGCUUCAACGACGGUUACGUUCUUCCUCCGCCGUCGCCGCUGCCGUUGGAGGACGAAGAGGAUCAUAUGCUGUGGUCGUCGGAGGAUGACGACGAUGACAACAGCGGGGCAGAGGACGACGAGUCGGUGGGUUCGGAUUCGGAAGACUACGACGACGAUGACAGCAGCGGCGAGGAGGAGGAGGAGAGCGACGACGAGGUUGACGGACAAGCGGGCAUGGAGAGCAGCGCCGACAACGACGUGCUGCUACAGAUGGUACACCCCAGCAAGUUCGUCCUCGAGGGAGGUUCGGCGCCGCGGUUCGCCGCCGCCGGGAAGACGGCCGGCUUCAUGCAGGUCACCGCCACGGAGAGGCAAUACGAAGCAGACCCCAUGCAGAUACUCGUGCUCUUCCGCUACACCCGCUUCUCGCCAUCAUCGUGCGGCGUGGAAGCGCGCAGGAGCACGAAGGAGCACCAGCUCCGGUUCAUAGCCACCGGCGACCACACGGCGAGGUCGCUGGCUUGGACCGGAUCGUCGCUGGGCCUGCUGAUAUACCCCCAUGGCUUCAGGAAGAAGCUCCAGGAGCUAUGGUCCAGCUUGGCGUCGAAGGUGAGCGUCCCGCCGGGAGCAAGACGCGUCGAGGUGUUCGUCGACGUUGGCCUCCUCCGGCGGGCGGAGUACACGCUAGCGAGCAUGCGGCACAUGUGCGCCGCGCUGGAGGGCAUGGUGGCGAAGCCGUGGCCCGGGCGCUUCACCGGGAUGGAGCUGUACUUGCCGGAGCCGGUACGGUGCGGCAGGGACGCCGACGAGCGGCCGACAAAGCAGAGGAAGGUCGAUGCAGCCGGGCAGGAGUGCUGCAUGGACGUCGGUGAACAGCCAGCGAAGCGAAGGAGGGCUGUCGCCGCCGGGGAGGAUUGCCCCGUCUGCUGGCAGCUGCUGGAGGGCGACGACCUCGCCGCGUGGCCGGGCUGCGGCAAGCCCCACGUCUUCCAUGGCGCGUGCCUCGAGCAAGUCCUCAAGAUGAGCGAGACGUGCCCGCUCUGCAGGCGCAACCUGUACUUUGAGCGGUUGAGCCCAAGAUGA